UGAGUAGGGCGGGACACGUGGUAUCCUGUCUGAAUAUGGGGGGACCAUCCUCCAAGGCUAAAUACUCCUGACUGACCGAUAGUGAACCAGUACCGUGAGGGAAAGGCGAAAAGAACCCCGGCGAGGGGAGUGAAAAAGAACCUGAAACCGUGUACGUACAAGCAGUGGGAGCCUCUUAAUGGGGUGACUGCGUACCUUUUGUAUAAUGGGUCAGCGACUUAUAUUCUGUAGCAAGGUUAACCGAAUAGGGGAGCCGAAGGGAAACCGAGUCUUAACUGGGCGUUAAGUUGCAGGGUAUAAGACCCGAAACCCGGUGAUUCAGCCAUGGGCAGGUUCGAAGGUUGGGUAACACUAACUGGAGGACCGAACCGACUAAUGUUGAAAAAUUAGCGGAUGACUUGUGGCUGGGGGUGAAAGGCCAAUCAAACCGGGAGAUAGCUGGUUCUCCCCGAAAGCUAUUUAGGUAGCGCCUCGUGAAUUCAUCUCCGGGGCUCCCCUACGAAGCUUACGGCCUUUGGCUUUGCUAGAGCACUGUUUCGGCAAGGGGGUCAUCCCGACUUACCAACCCGAUGCAAACUGCGAAUACCGGAGAAUGUUAUCACGGGAGACACACGGCGGGUGCUAACGUCCGUCGUGAAGAGGGAAACAACCCAGACCGCCAGCUAAGGUCCCAAAGUCAUGGUUAAGUGGGAAACGAUGUGGGAAGGCCCAGACAGCCAGGAUGUUGGCUUAGAAGCAGCCAUCAUUUAAAGAAAGCGUAAUAGCUCACUGGUCGAGUCGGCCUGCGCGGAAGAUGUAUGACGGGGCUAAACCAUGCACCGAAGCUGCGGCAGCGACACUAUGUGUUGUUGGGUAGGGGAGCGUUCUGUAAGCCUGUGAAGGUGUACUGUGAGGUAUGCUGGAGGUAUCAGAAGUGCGAAUGCUGACAUAAGUAACGAUAAAGCGGGUGAAAAGCCCGCUCGCCGGAAGACCAAGGGUUCCUGUCCAACGUUAAUCGGGGCAGGGUGAGUCGACCCCUAAGGCGAGGCCGAAAGGCGUAGUCGAUGGGAAACAGGUUAAUAUUCCUGUACUUGGUGUUACUGCGAAGGGGGGACGGAGAAGGCUAUGUUGGCCGGGCGACGGUUGUCCCGGUUUAAGCGUGUAGGCUGGUUUUCCAGGCAAAUCCGGAAAAUCAAGGCUGAGGCGUGAUGACGAGGCACUACGGUGCUGAAGCGACAAAUGCCCUGCUUCCAGGAAAAGCCUCUAAGCAUCAGGUAACAUCAAAUCGUACCCCAAACCGACACAGGUGGUCAGGUAGAGCAAAUACCAAGGCGCUUGAGAGAACUCGGGUGAAGGAACUAGGCAAAAUGGUGCCGUAACUUCGGGAGAAGGCACGCUGAUAUGUAGGUGAAGCGACUUGCUCGUGGAGCUGAAAUCAGUCGAAGAUACCAGCUGGCUGCAACUGUUUAUUAAAAACACAGCACUGUGCAAACACGAAAGUGGACGUAUACGGUGUGACGCCUGCCCGGUGCCGGAAGGUUAAUUGAUCUGCAGAUCAAUGCAGCCGGAGUCUUGGUCUUGCCGCGGCCGGUUAGCGGUAACGCGAAGCUCUUGAUCGAAGCCCCGGUAAACGGCGGCCGUAACUAUAACGGUCCUAAGGUAGCGAAAUUCCUUGUCGGGUAAGUUCCGACCUGCACGAAUGGCGUAAUGAUGGCCAGGCUGUCUCCACCCGAGACUCAGUGAAAUUGAACUCGCUGUGAAGAUGCAGUGUACCCGCGGCAAGACGGAAAGACCCCGUGAACCUUUACUAUAGCUUGACACUGACAAUCAAGGGUACAUUGAGCCUUGAUGUGUGUGUAGGAUAGGUGGGAGGCUUUGAAGUGUGGACGCCAGUCUGCAUGGAGCCGACCUUGAAAUACCACCCUUUAAUGUUUGAUGUUCUAACGUGGGCCCCUUACCGGGGUUGCGGACAGUGUCUGGUGGGUAGUUUGACUGGGGCGGUCUCCUCCUAAAGAGUAACGGAGGAGCACGAAGGUUGGCUAAUCCGCUCGGACAUCAGGAGGUUAGUGCAAUGGCAUAAGCCAGCUUGACUGCGAGCGUGACGGGGAUGUAGCAGGUGCGAAAGCAGGUCAUAGUGAUCCGGUGGUUCUGAAUGGAAGGGCCAUCGCUCAACGGAUAAAAGGUACUCCGGGGAUAACAGGCUGAUACCGCCCAAGAGUUCAUAUCGACGGCGGUGUUUGGCACCUCGAUGUCGGCUCAUCACAUCCUGGGGCUGAAGUAGGUCCCAAGGGUAUGGCUGUUCGCCAUUUAAAGUGGUACGCGAGCUGGGUUUAGAACGUCGGACUUCACCCGAACUGUUUCGUGCGUUCGCACGUGAGACAGUUCGGUCCCUAUCUGCCGUGGGCGCUGGAGAACUGAGGGGGGCUGCUCCUAGUACGAGAGGACCGGAGUGGACGCAUCACUGGUGUUCGGGUUGUCAUGCCAAUGGCACUGCCCGGUAGCUAAAUGCGGAAGAGAUAAGUGCUGAAAGCAUCUAAGCACGAAACUUGCCCCGAGAUGAGUUCUCCCUGACUCCUUGAGAGUCCUGAAGGAACGUUGAAGACGACGACGUUGAUAGGCCGGGUGUGUAAGCGCAGCGAUGCGUUGAGCUAACCGGUACUAAUGAACCGUGAGGCUUAACCU
rnacentral:rRNA from 1 species